GAAAUGCGAUAAGUAAUGUGAAUUGCAGAAUUCAGUGAAUCAUCGAAUCUUUGAACGCACAUUGCGCCCGCCAGUAUUCUGGCGGGCAUGCCUGUUCGAGCGUCAUUUCAACCAUCAAGCCCCCGGCUUGUGUUGGGGACCUGCGGCUGCCCGCAGGCCCUGAAAAACAGUGGCGGGCUCGCUGGCACACCGAGCGUAGUAGCAUACAUUCUCGCUCAGGGCGUGCUGCGGGUUCCGGCCGUUAAACGACCUUCAUAACCCAAGGUUGACCUCGGAUCAGGUAGGAAGACCCGCUGAACUUAAGC
rnacentral:misc_RNA from 1 species